GACAGAGGGUGCAAACGUUGCUCGGAAUUACUGGGCGUAAAGCGCGUGUAGGCGGACCACCAAGUCGGACGUGAAAGCCCUGAGCUCAACUCAGGAACUGCAUCCGAAACUGUGAGGCUCGAGUAUGGAAGAGGGUCGCAGAAUUCCCGGUGUAGAGGUGAAAUUCGUAGAUAUCGGGAGGAAUACCAGUGGCGAAGGCGGCGACCUGGGCCAAUACUGACGCUGAGGUGCGAAAGCGUGGGGAGCAAACAGG
rnacentral:rRNA from 1 species